CCAAGGUCUCAAAGAGCUCACCAGAGUCUGCUCUGAGACUGCUUUUGUUCUGUCCAGGGCUUUUCGUCCUGAUAGAAGCUCCAACAGUACAACUCCGAAGCUAUAGACAUCGGCUUUCGCAGACAGUUUACCUGCAGAUUUGUUAACCAGGAUACCUGUUGCAAGAUACUCUGGAGCUGCAUAUCCUUGAGUUCCCAUGAUUCGAGUGGAGACGUGAGUUAAAUCCCCAGUUGGACCAGCUUUUGCGAGACCGAAAUCUGAAAGCUUGGGAUUGAAAUCCUACAUCACAUGAAUACAAUAUAAGCUGGAAAGCCUACAACCCAAUUUAUUCAAUGCUUUUUCCGGUGGCAGAUUCUUCGCAAAUACCUGAUCGAGGAGUAUGUUAGAUGCCUUAACAUCUCGAUAUAUUACUUGAUAAUCUGGAUUGUGCAAAAAUGAAAGUCCCCUUGCUGCACCAACUGCGACUUUGAUUCUUGUUGCCCAAUCUAGUGGCUGAACACUUCCUAGAAAGCAAAUCAAACCACAGGUAAGCAAUGCAUAACUAAAGAGCGAUUAUUCGUGCUGAUUCAGUGUAGAUGCACUUUUAAAUAGAUGGUUCUCCAAGCUGCCUCUCGCCAUGUAUUCAUAGACUAACAGUCGAUUCUCGCCCUCAGAGCAGUGGCCAAUCAGCUUGACCAAAUUUGGAUGCUGAAGCUGACCAAGAUAGUUAACCUCGGUCUGCGAUUACUAGUCGUCGUAAGUAUGUGAUGAACUAGCCUUAACAAGUCAAUGAUGCAGUUAGUAAUUUGAAUUCAUAGCACAAACCAGCCAUUCCUUGUGGCCCUGAAAACUCUCAAGUUUAAGCUUCUUGAUGGCAAUCAUCAUUCCAUUACCAGGUCUUGUGGCGGUGAGAGUCUGUUCAUCUAGCCAACCUUUGUAAACACAACCAAAUCCACCUUCGCCGAUGAGAUUAUCCGGGCGGAAGUUUCUAGUAGCACUCUUCAGCUCAUUCAAAGUGAAGGCCUUUGAGCUCGAGGCAAGUAAGAUUUCAUCCUCGGUUCUCUGCAAGUUAGUGUUUUCGCCAUAUGAAGGCAUGGUGAAAGUUGAGGCGGUGGAACAAGUUGCCAAAGAUGAAGAAGGAACUGAAGAUGAGCUUGUUCUACUGGCAACAACUUUGGAAGGUUCUGUCAUGUAGAUGCAGAUUAAUGUAAAGAGCUUCGAUAAGACCAAAAUUCAAGUAACAAAACCUAGAAAUUCCAUUUUCCCUUUCUAAAGAAAGGAAAAAAGUCAACAUCAAUAUAAGCAAAAUCCCCACUGAGGCAAUUGAACAAUCAGUUGGAAGGCGUACGCGAAGAAGAGCCGCGGCUGCGCAAGGAGGUAGCCGUCGACGGAGGGGCAAAGCAGUUCCCCAUCUCCCACCGCCAGCGACGACGAAGAAGCUCACGUUGGUGGAGGAAAACCAGACCUCCUCUCCCCCCCCUAUUUAUAGCCCUCCUCCUCCUCCUGGAAGAGAAACAGAGGAAGGCGAGGGGAGACCGAGGCGACGAACAGAGUCGCCGCUAAACGACGGUCUCAUGACCACAAUCCAAGCAAAAUGAAGACGGACCUGAAAAAACGAAAUGAUGUGUCUUUUUCGACGGUCAAUUCGAAGAAAGAAAGAAAGAAAGA